rnacentral:rRNA from 1 species
AGUGAACGCUGGCGGUAGGCCUAACACAUGCAAGUCGAACGGCGGCACAGUAAGAGCUUGCUCUUACGGGUGGCGAGUGGCGGACGGGUGAGGAAUACAUCGGAAUCUACUUUUUCGUGGGGGAUAACGUAGGGAAACUUACGCUAAUACCGCAUACGACCUACGGGUGAAAGCAGGGGAUCUUCGGACCUUGCGCGAUUGAAUGAGCCGAUGUCGGAUUAGCUAGUUGGCGGGGUAAAGGCCCACCAAGGCGACGAUCCGUAGCUGGUCUGAGAGGAUGAUCAGCCACACUGGAACUGAGACACGGUCCAGACUCCUACGGGAGGCAGUAGUGGGGAAUAUUGGACAAUGGGCGCAAGCCUGAUCCAGCCAUACCGCGUGGGUGAAGAAGGCCUUCGGGUUGUAAAGCCCUUUUGUUGGGAAAGAAAAGCAGCAGGUUAAUACCCCGCUGUUCUGACGGUACCCAAAGAAUAAGCACCGGCUAACUUCGUG